GGCCCCGUGUGUGAUCUGCUUUGUCCAAACAGGGCAGCUCGGGUGGGGAGUGUGGGUUCCCGCCCCUCUUGGGGGCCCCUGGCCGCCGCCCGGUGGAUGAGCCCAGGGGGAGGUGUGCUGGACCCGGAGAGGUCAAGGCCGGGCUGAAAUGCUCCCGAGUGGCUUGUCCGCAGACCCGCGAGGUCCACCAAGAUGGGAACCGUCACCCCCCACCACCGAGGCUAGAAGAGCGGUCGAGCUGACCCAAAGACCCGGAGCAAGACGAAUCACAGAAGUCGCUUCCUGUCGUCCUGAAAGUCUUGGGAACCCAAUGCAUUGGAACCCAUAACCCAAGUGGCUGGACCAGCUGAACCGGCUUCUCUUCUUUCCUUGCCCUCCGUGAGGAGGGCUGAAUGGCCAAGUGUCUGUUUCUGUAAGAAUUUGAGAUAAAGCUAUUUGCUUAUAUGUCCCACAACAUCACCGUCAAGUAGGGCAGAGGCGAGGAAGUUGUCCAUUAUUUUUGUUGCGGAUGACACAACGCCAGAGACUGGAUAAGGAGACGGACGCUCAGGAAGCACAAAGGGACGUGUCCAGGGAGGAUUAGGGGCAGACAGCGAGCUCAGGACGCCCAGCUCGGGCCGCCGUGCAACCUCUCCCUGCUGGAAUGUUCUGGAAGCCAGCGCAAACUCUUGCCUGAGGCAGACCACCCCUCUGAGGACCUGCUGGAUGGCAAAUGCUUCCGAGUCGGAGGUCUCUGGUGCCCACGGCAGGGCUGAGCAGGGAGGCGGCCAGGGCACACUCCCCAGGGACAAGGCCACCGUCACCCAGCCCCGCGGCUCCCAGGAAGCCAGGCUCACUCCUGCUCAAAGGCAGGCCUGUCUGCGCCCCAGGUACCUGGCCGGGUGACGCUCUUGGGGCUGGCUGGGGCUGCCUGCCAACGUCAGGGCCAGACAGACCUCUGCUGUUCGCAGCCUCGUCCCGCCCCGCGGCCCUGGCACCCCCCGGAGGCUUGUUUGUGAGGCCAGGAAGCCCAGGCUGGCCGCUCAGCCCCGGCCAACAUCUAGGCCUGGCGGCCAGACUGCGGGAGGGAAGAGGGGAGGGGACACAUGUGGCGCGACACCUCUAACAGGGCCAGCAUCCGACCACACAAGGGCCCCCUGACUGGCGAGGGUCAGGGAGGGCCAGCUCCUCCGAGGGACAUCCCUGGGCUUGGACACGGUGAGGACGGGCUCUGUGUGCCCAGGGGGACGCAGGACCCACCCGCAGAUCCUGGGGACCCAGGUGGGCGCUCCCUUCUCCAAGGGGGAGUCCCGAUGACGUCCCUGCGAAGCUGUUUUUGCAGCAGGACACAAGAGCUCCGCUCUCCUCAGUCACUCCGGUCCUCCUCUGUCCCCUGUCCUGGGCAAGCUCUUUGUCACUUGGUGGGUUUGCCACCCUCAGUGGACAUGCAGGCUCCCUGGAACGCGUCCUCCCGGGGCCCCCGUCACAAGGACAGGACUCCACGCACCUCCAGCCCAGACUCGGCUUUUUCCGCCCAGCAGCUGAUCUCAGGAGGCCACUGCGGCCGCCCUGGUGCCCCUGUUGGUGGCUGGCUGCACCGUCUUCCCGUUAGUCCGUGAAGUCAAAGGUGCGCCUGCUCCUGCAGCGUCUCCUCCAGCCCCAGCACCAGGCCUGGCUCGGAGCAGGCCCUUAAUAACCCCGGUGUGGCCUCCGUGGAUCGUCCCCAGGUUGGGAAGCGGGGGCUCGGGAGGUCGGGCACCCUGCUCAUGGCCACCGCGUGGCGGACGCCAGGCCCCUGGACCCUACUUCCAAUUGCUCUGGACUCCAACCUGAGGCCCUGAUCUUGCCUCCGGGGGUCCCUGGGGGAGGGUCUUCCACCGCCGUCCAGCGAGGCCUCAGUGACUGACAGGAGGCCAGCCACAGUCUGACGAUGAGCUGCAGGGUUCCCAGAAGAAUCCAGAAGGUCAGGAAUCGGCAGCCGAACCUGGUCAGGUCCUGGCAGGUCCUGGCAGGAGCCAACGGGCAUCAGGCAGGACCCCCCUGGCUGGCCGCAAGGUCGCCUCAUUUCCUGUUCACAGCACAAACCCCCGGUCCCAGGGCCUUCGGGACCCAUCUCCCAGGCUGUGGCCCACCAACGUGGAAUCCGCGGGGAAUCAGGCUGACUGACUCCGUCUCCGGGUACCGCGUGGGCAGGGAGAUGCACGCGCCACCUGGGGACCUCGGGCUAUUGGCAGCAAGUAUUUCUGAGCUUCUGUGACGGUGCUGGGGAGCAGUGGCCACCUCCCGCCAUCUCGGGGCGGGAUUGGGAGAGUUGGGGGAGAGGACCUGAGAACCAGGGGCUGCUGGGCUCCAGUCGGCCACCCCGAGGGUCUGGGUAAAGCUCGUCGCACGCGCCCCUGGUCGGCAGCAGCGAUUGGCGAGGGGACGCCACACCUGGGUGUCUGCCUUCCGGCGUUUCUUCAUGGUUCCUUGGGCUGUAACUUCUGUCUGGAUCAUUUACGACGAGACGGGGAGUCCCCUUUGACAUUCAUGAAAAGGAGGCACAGGGCGUGGUGUCGAGAGCAGCGACGUUUGGGAGACCAGGUACCGGGUCCCCCUGACCUUGCAGGUCAGACCACGUGUUCCAUGGUGACUGGGAUCAAAUCCAGGUUCCUCAUCAUGGCCUCUGAGGCCCUGGCGGGAUCCAGCUGCAGCCCGCCUUGUUGACAGCCCCUUGAGUUUUCCCAGAGCACCGUUUCUUGGACUGUCCCUCUUUAACUGUCCGCUUCUGGGUUGAUGAUCUAUUUCUUCUGUCUCAGCUCCCGGAAGCCAAGGAGCCUGGAUUUCCAGAGUCCCGGGGGCGUCUGGUGCCUGCUGCCACAUGGGCACAUAAUAGAGGCUCAAUAAACACCGGAGAGGGAAGGACGGGGAGGACUGGGGACUGCCCCAGGUUAGCUGGUCGCACGCACUCCAAGGUCCAGGGUCUUAACCACUGGGCUACCCGGCCUCCCCACAAGACACCCUGCGGAAUCGGUGGCCUGCUGCCACCACGGACAUCCCAAGUCAGCACCAGCACGGGGCUUCCGGGGGAGGGGUGGCCUCCAUCACAAGGCCAAGAUUUUCUUGGGUUCUGUAAAUGGCUUCCUAAAGUCUCCUCCUUCCCUGGGGGUGGGGGGCGCAGACUUGGGGGCCCUGGCAUGGUCCCCUCCCUGGCUGAGGUCACCCCCUGCACACGAGGGUCAAGUGCACGCCUCACCAAAAUGCAGUGUCCUGCAAAGCCCAGUCGAUCAGGCAGCACCCACGUGCCCCCGUGACCCGGACACUAAGGCAGAGUGGAGCAGAGCCGCGCAGAAAAUUUCCCACGGCAACGGAGCAGCAGGGACAAGGGAUGAGUCCAAGGAGCUCGUGAAUCCAGCUCAGCAGAUCACACUCAGCCUGUCUCAGGACCUUUGCACACGCUGUUCCUGCUGCCUCAUAGACCUCCC